rnacentral:rRNA from 1 species
UACGAAGGGUGCAAGCGUUACUCGGAAUUACUGGGCGUAAAGCGCGCGUAGGUGGUGAGUUAAGUCUGUCGUGAAAGCCCCGGGCUCAACCUGGGAAUGGCGAUGGAUACUGGCUCGCUAGAGUGCGGUAGAGGAGAGUGGAAUUCCCGGUGUAGCAGUGAAAUGCGUAGAGAUCGGGAGGAACACCAGUGGCGAAGGCGAUCACCUGGGGUUGUUCUGACGCUGAGGAGCGAAAGCUAGGGGAGCAAACGGG